rnacentral:rRNA from 1 species
GAUGAACGCUGGCGGCGUGCCUAAUACAUGCAAGUCGAGCGAACAGACGAGGAGCUUGCUCCUCUGACGUUAGCGGCGGACGGGUGAGUAACACGUGGAUAACCUACCUAUAAGACUGGGAUAACUUCGGGAAACCGGAGCUAAUACCGGAUAAUAUAUUGAACCGCAUGGUUCAAUAGUGAAAGACGGUUUUGCUGUCACUUAUAGAUGGAUCCGCGCCGCAUUAGCUAGUUGGUAAGGUAACGGCUUACCAAGGCAACGAUGCGUAGCCGACCUGAGAGGGUGAUCGGCCACACUGGAACUGAGACGCGGUCCAGACUCCUACGGGAGGCAGCAGUAGGGAAUCUUCCGCAAUGGGCGAAAGCCUGACGGAGCAACGCCGCGUGAGUGAUGAAGGUCUUCGGAUCGUAAAACUCUGUUAUUAGGGAAGAACAAAUGUGUAAGUAACUAUGCACGUCUUGACGGUACCUAAUCAGAAAGCCACGGCUAACUACAUG